UUCAUAUAUAAGCAAGGGCAAGAAGGAAGUUGUUCCCUUUUGUCUUCCUCCUGGUCUCUGCUCUGGAAUCACCAUGUGAUCUGCCAUCAAGAGAGCACCAGCAGAAGGCAUCCUUGAUAAGAGGGAUACUAUGUAGUUCAGAUUGGCUUCAAGAUCCUCCUGCCUGUUAUUUAAUCUGAGUGAUGGGAUAGCAUCUUGCUCUACAGCCCAUGCUGCCUCUGAAUUUCCUAUCCUGAGACUUGUCUCCAACUAGCAAUUUUCCUGCUUCAGUCUCUCAAGUGCUGGGGUUAUAGUCAUGUACCAUCAUUCCUUGCUUCAACCCUUCUUUUAGGAGACAUAAUUCAACCUGAAGCAAUGAUUAUCAGUACAAAUCAUCAGAAGAAAUGGAACUCUUUAAAUUUCAAGACAUAAAAAUAGCUCAUCAGAAAGAGAAAGCACAACAUGGGAACUCUGUGGCUAUUGUUUCUGCGAAUAUAAGGGCUGAUUGCAUCACAUUGUGCCUAGGCUGCAGGAAAAAUACAGUAGUGCUCUGAUGGCUAAUAACAGGGAGAGCCAAGUCAGUAUAUUGUGCAGUUUUGUGUAAUGCAGAAGGAAGGAUAACACCAUUCUUUGUAUUUUAGUUUCUCUGCUCAGUUAUUCAUGUUCACUGUACCCUCAUCGUCAAUACCUCAUUUUUGCAAGUUUGAGCAUUUGCAUAAAUUGUUAUAGUAUUGUUUGUGUUCACUACAGCUGGUUGCAAUAUACUCAACUGAUAAUUUCACAGCUACACAGAAAAGUUCUCAAAAAUUAAACAUUUGAAAUAGAAACAUCUUACCUUGCAACAAGUCUCCAGUCUAGCCAUGAGUAAGCUUUCUAAAGAAAUGACAAUUGGAAUGACAUCACCUUGUGAUAUGUAAAUUAAUCUAUUUGAAAUGCACAUUUACUUCUCUGAAGUAAAUGUUUAGAUAGUAUUUAUGCUUGAAAUAAGAAGUCAACCAUCAUGAUUAUUAUUUUGACAGUCACAUAUACGUGUUGAAAUUACAUAGAAAUAUAAAGACCAAAAUUUAGGAACUAGGACAAAAUACAAAAAGAUAAAAGAUAAUCAUUAAUAAGAUUCAAAUUAUGAAUUAGAAUGGAAGAAAUAUAAAGAAAACUUAUAAAAAGUGAAAUAUCUAUUUUAUAAAUUUUAAUUAUUUUAUACAUGCAAAUAUAUACAGUUUUAUUAAAACACAGAGAAAACAAUUUACAAUGCUGGAGAAAGCAAAAUAGAAUGGUGGAUGAUACCUAUGUCCCCAUAUCUAUAUCUGACAUCAGGAUUUCUCUGUACAGUGUCACAGCAACUGGCACUUGGAAGAUUUUAAAGUGUUGUCAAAUUAAAAUCACAUGACUAGUGAAACAGUCACUUUCAUUUCAUAGAGCAUGUACAGGGUCAUGAGACCUUCUUCUAUAAGAUUAAAAUAGACAUUUAUUUUGAAAAGACUGAAUUUCUUAAAAGUUUGUUUCCUAGCUAAGAUGUAAGUCUGUGGGAGACACAGCAGUUACAUAGCAAGCCCAAUGCAAACCUGACCUCCGUUGUACUUUCAUUGAAAAGAGAAGUGGAAAAAGUCAAUAAUAUUUAGAUAUGGCAAGAUCAUAUUGACUAAUCAGCAAUCUUAAAAAACAAAACAAGUCAUAAAAUAUAUUGGCAAAAUUGGAGCAAAGCCAUUAGGAAGUAUUAAAUUCCGGAGAAUCAAAGUCUGCUUGUAGUAUGUAUUUAGACCAUAUAAAAGAAACAUCUGAGAAUGUAAAAACAAUAACAAAAAUAACACAAAACACAAAAUCUACACACACACACACAUUUUCAAUUUAAUGGGUUAUUUUUCUAAAUAAUAGUAAGCUUUAUUUCCACCCCUUUGAUUUGUUUAUCAAGGCUCAAAGAAAGUGGGGACCACAAACUUUCAAAUCUGGCAUUUAAAAUAUAUUUCUUUGAAUACAUGGUUUUUCUAUUGACUGGCAUGAUGAAAAUACAAUAUGACCCUAAAAGCUGUGGUAUGGAGGACUGGAGAGAUGUUUAAGUGUUUAAGAAUACUGGCUGUUCUUUCAAGGGACCUAAGUUCAAUUACCAGCACCCAUAUGGUGGCUCACAACUGUCUGUAAAUCUAAUUCCAAGAGAUCUAACACUUCUUCUGGCCUCUGUGGGCACCAGACAUGUCUGUGAUGCAUAGACAUAUGCUCACAUACACUUACUAAACAUUAAAAAAUUCUUUUAAAAGUUGUGGUAGCAGCUUUACUUGUUAAUACACAUGUACUUGUCAUGGUUUGUCCUAUUCGGCACCCCUCUUCUGUAUUCAGACAUUGGAUAUUAUUUGAGUCUUUAUAAACUACCAAUAUUUCUUAAGUAGUACCUUAUUUUAU
ensembl:lncRNA